CGUAGGGUCCGAGCGUUGUCCGGAAUUAUUGGGCGUAAAGAGCUCGUAGGCGGUUUGUCGCGUCUGCUGUGAAAUCCCGAGGCUCAACCUCGGGCCUGCAGUGGGUACGGGCAGACUUGAGUGGUGUAGGGGAGACUGGAAUUCCUGGUGUAGCGGUGGAAUGCGCAGAUAUCAGGAGGAACACCGAUGGCGAAGGCAGGUCUCUGGGCACUUACUGACGCUGAGGAGCGAAAGCGUGGGAGCGAACAGGAUU
rnacentral:rRNA from 1 species